AGUCUGACGGGGGUAGGGGAUGGUUUACCUGGGGAAGGGGAUGGAGACGGAGGCUUCUUGUUGGGCGUUCUAGGAACAGCGGGUUUGGGUCAUGUUUGAGACUGAGAUUGCAAUUGGAUCUCGAGUACGGAGAUGCUGAGAGGGAGUGCCUCGGGUGGCGUCUUGGCGAGGCAAGACCCGGCAUCGUCUCUUUUGUUUUGCUUUGGGAUCGGAGAUCGAUUAAAGAGUUGCAGAGAAAGAAAUCAGAAAGAGAGAUAGAGAGAUUAAGGGAUUGGAUUUAGCAUUUAGGUCACUAGGGACAGGCUACCAAUAAAGGAGCUGAUUGAAAAGCUUCGAAUGAGGAUCUCUCCUCACUGCUACUACUACUGCUGUAUCUCCUCCUUUUAGUUUUUAUCUCCUGUUACUGGUAUGGCUAAGGCCUACCACAAGGG
rnacentral:misc_RNA from 1 species